AUUUAUAGUGUAUCGAUUUAGUACGUACCUUGUGGUUUUAUUUUUCUCUUUUUGUUAUCCUUUUCACUAAUUUUUUUUAUUAAAUUAAUGAUAAAGUUGAAACUAAAAUAUACUAAAGUGAAUAUUCGAUGAAUCUAGAUUAGAUAUUUGAAGUUUUCUAUAUAUAAUUUAACGAAAUGUUAAUGGAGGAGCUGACAAAAAAAAAAAAAUGAAACCACAUAUAUUAAAUUAAUGCAUUUCAAAUCACAGAGUACUAAAGUGAGAAACUACGAAACCACCGGGUGGUAUUGGAAGUUUGUCGAUAAUAAUAAGGGUAAAUUGUACCACUGGUCCCUAAUCUUUAUCAAUUCUUUCACUUUGAUCCCCAAACAUUUCGGCUAAAUUAUGAGAAGCUCCGCAUGUUUCAUCUGUAUUAAUUAUCCUCUUAUAUUUUAGAGAUACAACUUGUUGUAAACAUAUCGAAUAGCAAAUAUAUUUCUAUAAAGUUCGACUUUUUAUUUUUACUACUAUAAAAAUUCAGUGAUAUUCAUAUUUGCCCCUCUGGUUUGCUAUCGUAAGAGCACUGUUUAUUUUUUAACAGCAGAUAAGUGAAAUAAUAUUUUUGUCCUUAUAAUUAAAUAUAUCCCUCCAAAAGCUCAAAUUGUUAGAAUUAUGCAAAAAUAUCCUCUAAAAAAGUAUUUUAUUCAAUAAUAUAAGAAGGAUAAAAAUGUCAAUUUAAUUCAUUUACUGACCAGGGUUAAGUAUUUUACUUAUAGUUAACUAUAUUUUUCUAACGGAUUCUAACAGCUAUUGUAUAUUGGAAAAUAUUAGCUAGUACUUUUCAAAGGAUAAAAAUAAAAAGUUGAAUUUGUAAGAAUAUAUCUGCUAUUCGAUAUAUUUACAGAGAACUAUAUGUAAUUAAUCCUAAAUUUUAUCACAUUG
rnacentral:lncRNA from 1 species